GAAUGUGGUAAGUGUCUGUUUAAG
rnacentral:piRNA from 1 species